ensembl:piRNA 21ur-4202 ncRNA
UUCAUUUCAUUUACUAGUGAA